rnacentral:lncRNA from 10 species
GAUACGCAAAAAGCUACCACUAUGUCUCCACGAAGCUGAGUAUUUUCCUUGGAGUAGCUUUUUAUUUGGACAUAUGGAAUGAAACUUACUUAAUAUUCUGCAGAGAUCUUCCUGGUGUUUCCAAAAUGUCUCAGGUAUGUCUUUAUCAGCAUCAUGAAAACAGACUAAUACAGUAAGUUGAUACCAGUACAGUGGGGCAUUGCCGAAAAGAUACCUGAAAAUGUGGAAGUGACUUUGGAACUGGGUAACAGGCAGAGAUUGGAACAGUUUGGAGGGCUCAGAAGAAGAUAGGAAGAUAAGGGAGAGUUUGAAACUUCCUAGAGACUUGUUGAAUGGCUUUGCUCAAAAUGCUGAUAGUGAUAUGGACAAUAAUGUACAGACUGAGGUGGUCUCAGAUGGAGAUGAGGAACUUGUUGGGACCUGGAGCAAAGGUGACUUGUUAUGUUUUAGCAAAGAGACUGGCAGCAUUUUGCCCCUGCCCUAGAGAUUUGUGGAACUUUGAACUUGAGAAAGAUGAUUUAGGGUAUCUGGCAGAAGAAAUUUCUAAGCAGCAAAGCAUUCA